rnacentral:misc_RNA from 1 species
CGCUACUACCGAUUGAAUGGCUCAGUGAGGCCUUCGGACUGGCUUGGGGAGGUUGGCAACGACCACCCUAAGCCGGAAAGUUCGUCAAACUCGGUCAUUUAGAGGAAGUAAAAGUCGUAACAAGGUUUCCGUAGGUGAACCUGCGGAAGGAUCAUUACCUAGAGUUUGUAGACUUCGGUCUGCUACCUCUUACCCAUGUCUUUUGAGUACCUUCGUUUCCUCGGCGGGUCCGCCCGCCGAUUGGACAACAUUCAAACCCUUUGCAGUUGCAAUCAGCGUCUGAAAAAACAUAAUAGUUACAACUUUCAACAACGGAUCUCUUGGUUCUGGCAUCGAUGAAGAACGCAGCGAAAUGCGAUAAGUAGUGUGAAUUGCAGAAUUCAGUGAAUCAUCGAAUCUUUGAACGCACAUUGCGCCCCUUGGUAUUCCAUGGGGCAUGCCUGUUCGAGCGUCAUUUGUACCUUCAAGCUCUGCUUGGUGUUGGGUGUUUGUCUCGCCUCUGCGUGUAGACUCGCCUUAAAACAAUUGGCAGCCGGCGUAUUGAUUUCGGAGCGCAGUACAUCUCGCGCUUUGCACUCACAACGACGACGUCCAAAAGUACAUUUUUACACUCUUGACCUCGGAUCAGGUAGGGAU